rnacentral:miRNA from 1 species
AGCUAGAGAGAGAGAGAGAGAGAGAGAGAGAGUGGAAGUAGUUCUGUUUCGCUACAAGACUUUCGAAACGCUUCCUUCCUAGCUAUAUAUAACCUUCAAGUUUCCACCAUCCAUGCUAUAUUUAACUAGACAAGAGUGGUCUCUCUCUCUCUCUCUCUCUCUCUCUCUCUCUCUCAAG